UCUUUUUUCAAUAAUCAGCCUCAACAAUGUAACAACCGACAAGAACAGCUUUAACGCUGUGACAGAAAAACAACGGCGAAAACCCAUCCCAACAAUAACGUUCACAGAACCAAAACGACGUUUAACAAAUCAAUAGCAAAAUCUCAAAUCGGCCGAAGUUCAGAAAGCUUUCAUUUUUUCAGCUUGGGAUUCACUAAUUUGGGCAAAAAAUUAUUUUUCUUUGACCAACACAACCAACAGCUCGUUUUGGUCUCUUUUGUCCUCUUUUUCAUCUGCCCGUUCUGAUUUAACUACCAAAUUGAUGCAAAGUCCAGUUGGUGUAUUGUCAGAUGGAGGAUCUCAAAAAUCUCUUUUUUUUUCUUUAUAAAAGAUUUCAAAUCCGGAAUUUGAAAACCCUAGCUAUUCCCCCCCAAUCUUCCCUAUAAAUAGAGGCCAGGGAGAAGGGGUGAAGAGGGAGGAUUUUUGGGGAAAAAUUGGGGGUUCUAAAGGUGCUUGUCUUUAAACCUCACGAAACCAAAAUUUUCGAAGACCGACGAAAUAUCGGAAUUCAACAUUGUUGUUCAAAUUCUGUUGGUUAGAAUCAACUCGAGGUGGUGAAAUUUCCUUCUAUUAAAAGCUCGUCGUCCCGGUGUCGCUGCUCGAAAAUAGGUAAAAGACGUUUCCCAAAAGAAAAGAAAGUGAAAGUGGAUCAACGUCUGACCACUAAAAAAAAGGGUACAGUACAGAGGGAUUCGGAGGAGCUUCUUGAACAAUCUCAGUCAGGGAAAAGUGAAGAUGAGGAGAGAUGUAAAAACAACAUUAAGGGAGGUGGACUAGGGUUCGUAGAUGGUGAUGAAGAAAAUGAAAGUGAGAAAGAGGAGGAAUUGGAGAGUGAGAAAGAGAAAGAGGAUGAUCAUCAACAUGAUGAUAAUGGAUCACUGAUGAGGUGUGAGUUAAUAUCGACAUCCCUGCAUGAUCCUAUCAAAACUUUUAGUAUUGACAGGUUUCAAGUUCCGAUGCCAAUAAAUGACCCAGAAGGAAAACAACUAACUGGUCAAAUUGUACUUAAAGGUCAGAUUUUGAAAAAUUUUGAACAUCUUAUGAAAAUUAUGAAGAACUAAAACAUAGGCGGACUUUUUAAGAAGCUGCUUUGGACGCUUUCUUGAGCUGCCUGAGAACCCCUCUGCCCGUACCUAUUUUCCUAUGACGAUGGUAUAUGGUCUUCUCAAGCGCAGGAUCAAGUACGCGGGAGAUGAUAAAGAUCCGGAGGAAGGGGGCAAAAAGAAGAUAGAUGAAAUCUAGAUCAAUUACUGUGGCAUGCCUAUUUGUUUUGGCUUGCAAGAGUUUUCCAUAGUGACAGGCUUGAGAUGCCAUUGUCCAGAAGGACCACCACCCCGCAAAAGAUCCAAGGCAAGAAAAUGCAAGGAAAAAAUAGAUGGGUUGUUUGACAUUGCUCGACGUGACUACAAAGCAUCGGAUUUGUUGAUAGAUCUCGAGGCUAAAACCAUAUCGGAACAGUACAAGGAGUAAUUGUGCUUAGUUUGGUUUGCCUAUUCGGUUAUAUUGGCAAGAGACAUCAACAAGGUCAUAGAAGAUGAUUUGUUGGCGCGUGCUGAGUAUUUUGAUAAAUUCAACAAUUAUCCCUGGGGAGAUGACAACUUCUACUUGACUUUCCAAUAUUUACUGACAAAGCUAUCCUCAGGGACGACCACAUUAUAUGGCUUUCCUUGGGCUUUCAUGGCUUGGACAUUUGAAGCCAUUCUUCCCCUCCGAAAGCAGUUAAUGGAUUAUCCAGAUGAGGUUGGUUGGCUGCAAAAAGCAAUACCAAUAUUAAGGAGGCUGAUCUCUUUAACCCUCUGGAUGAUGCAGUACGUCUUCUUCAAGUAAAAUAAUUCUACUCAAAGAUAAGAAAGAUAUUGAACAGAUGUUAUAUCUGGUACAACAGAUGUUAUAUCUGAUGCACCAGAUGGGACAACUAUUGUGACAGGGUAUAUCUUGCAUCAGAUUACCCAUCUGUUGCUUUGGUUCUCUGAACCCGACUUAUGCAACUGAUGUUUAAUCUGAUGACAUGUUGUUCAUUUGUUGCGACGUACAUAUCAUCUGUUGUAUAAUAGAUUACCCGUCUUGUGCAACUGUUGCAACAGACGAUUGAUAUUUUGCAUCAGAUUAUCCAUGUGUUGCUCUGUUUCUCUGAACCAGGCUCAAACGGAUUUUAACCAUAUACUGGAAACUAUGCAAUGGAUGGGUCUUUUUUUUUAAAUGUAGCGCAACUGUGAAAAUUAUUAUA